AAUAAUAACAAAUAUAGAGCUAGCAACAUGUCUACUAUUUCACUUUUUUUAGAGUUUCUAAGCCAAUCAGAAGGCUCUAUUUCACACCCACUCGCACAAAGUGAGCGUUGAGCGCGUGAGAGC
rnacentral:sRNA from 1 species